UGGCACUCCCGUCUCUAGAACAUUCAUAGACCCCUAAAAGUAAAACCCUAGCUCUGUUUUACUAACUUGCCACCACUACCACCACCACUGCCAAGCCAUGGCUCUGCAAUUUGUCCGCCUCCGCCGAGCUCUAACCUCACUUUCCACUCUCCAUAGCUCUCUUUCCACUCCAAUCAUCCCCAGUUCACCUCUUCCUCUCCCGCAUACCUUCAUUUCUCCCUCGCCGUCCAAGCAAUCGCCGUUAUUCUUCAUCUUUCAGUCGCGGCAGUUCACGGGAUCCCGGAUGUCUCUCUCUUCCUCGGGAAAACAGUACAGGGUGUACAAGGAAGGAGACGAGAUCACGGAGGACAUGGUGCUUUUCGAGGGCUGCGAUUUCAAUCACUGGCUGAUUACGGUGGAUUUCCCCAAGGACCCGAAGCCCACACCUGAAGAGAUGGUUGCUACCUACGAGCGUAUCUGCGCCCAGGGACUGGGCAUCAGUAUCGAGGAGGCAAAGAAAAAGAUAUACGCUUGUAGCACCACCACGUAUCAAGGGUUUCAGGCAGUUAUGACAGAAGAGGAGUCAGAAAAAUUUAAAGAUGUUCCUGGAGUUGUCUUUGUAUUGCCAGAUUCUUAUAUUGAUCCACAAAACAAGGAAUAUGGAGGGGACAAGUAUGAAAAUGGAGUAAUAACACCGAGGCCACCUCCGGUUCAAUAUAGGAGGGGAGGAAGAUUCAAUGACAGGAACAGAAACCCUGCCCAGCCAAGAUAUGAUCAGCAAGGAGGUCCUGUGCCAAAUCAACGUGGGAGUCCCCAAUACAAUCAAGGAUAUAUGCAAGGUGGACGUGGUGGGCCCCAAUAUAAUCAACAAGGAUAUACGCAAGGUGGUGGUAACUAUGGACCUCCACAAAAUUACCCACCGCAGCAAAAUUAUGGUCCUCCUGGACAAGGAGACACAAUGCCAAUGAACAAUAGGGAUUAUGCACCUGGAGGAAGGGACUCAUAUCAGACAAAUAGGGGUCCAUAUCCAGGCACCUAUGGCCAAGACCAACGAGGAGGCCAAUAUCAGGGCAAUUACAGCCAAGGUGAGCAGGGAAAUCAUUAUCCUCAAGACCAAAGGGGCUUCCCACAAGGAGAUCAGAGGGACUUUAGGGGAGAUGGCAGAAAUUAUUCUCCUGCGCCAGCUGGCACUCAUGGGCAAGGUGCAAAUACUGGCUAUGGGCAGGGCUACCCAGGUGAAGGUCAAAAGUUUUCACAAAUGGAGCAGAGAAAUAUGUAUGGAGAGCAAUCAAAUUAUGCACCAGUGGGACAAACUGGGGGAAACCAAGUAAGACAUUCAUUUUAAAGUAAUGAAUCAGAACCUCUUUGUCCUGCAUAGUUAUGGCUACUCAUCUAUUACCAUUUAAUGUCACUUGUUUAAUAUCCUCACAGUUAAAUUCGUUGGUAAAUUCUAAGGAUUUGAUGUCUGGAGAUGAAAUCUUUUAAGGAUGAGUGAACUUGAGCAACUUUAUAAGUAGGUGUAGGUUGCUUUAUGUCCCAGUAUUCAUCUAACUCUAUUUUUCUUGUACAGGGAAGAUAUUAGGAGACUCCCAGAUGGUUCAUUGAGGCAAUGGAGGGGGGAGACCUGUAAAUCACUUUUAUAUUUCGCAUGGUCAUCCUCAUGAACAGGGAUAUAAACCUUUUCAAGUUGUGUCGUGGUAAAUAGUUGUUUAUGUUCACCUUUAAUCGGUAGGAAUGAACUUUUUUCCCAUUAGAUACAAGAAGCUGAAAUCAGAAUUUUGGUAUUGCAUAUGAGUUGUGAAUUAUGGUGCAUAGUGUGGGGAGGUUUGCCCUCGGUGGUGUUGUUCCUUUCUUCUUCUUCUUCUUCU
rnacentral:misc_RNA from 1 species